UUCUACAUGCAAGUCGAGGGGCAGCAUAAAUUACUUGUAAUUUGAUGGCGACCGGCGAACGGGUGCGUAACGCGUAUGCAACUUACCUUUUACUAGAGAAUAGCCAAGAGAAAUUUUGAUUAAUGCUCUAUACUCUUAAUAACUCACAUGAGUUUAUAAGAAAAGCUCCGGCGGUAAAAGAUGGGCAUGCGUCCUAUUAGCUUGUAGGUGAGGUAACGGCUCACCUAAGCUCCGAUAGGUAGGGGUCCUGAGAGGGAGAUCCCCCACACUGGUACUGAGACACGGACCAGACUUCUACGGAAGGCAGCAGUAAGGAAUAUUGGACAAUGGAGGAAACUCUGAUCCAGCCAUGCCGCGUGAAGGAAGACGGCCUUAUGGGUUGUAAACUUCUUUUAUACAGGAAGAAACCUUUCCACGUGUGGAAAGUUGACGGUACUGUAAGAAUAAGGAUCGGCUAACUCCGUGCCAGCAGCCGCGGUAAUACGGAGGAUCCAAGCGUUAUCCGGAAUUAUUGGGUUUAAAGGGUCCGCAGGCUGUUUGUUAAGUCAGAGGUGAAAUCCUACCGCUCAACGGUAGAACUGCCUUUGAUACUGGCAAACUUGAGUUAUUGUGAAGUAGUUAGAAUGUGUAGUGUAGCGGUGAAAUGCAUAGAUAUUACACAGAAUACCGAUUGCGAAAGCAGAUUACUAACAAUUAACUGACGCUGAGGGACGAAAGCGUGGGUAGCGAACAGGAUUAGAUACCCUGGUAGUCCACGCC
rnacentral:rRNA from 1 species